GGCUUUCGUAGGUGACCUGCGGAGGAUCAUUA
rnacentral:rRNA from 1 species